CACCGCGGUUAUACGAGAGGCUCAAGUUGAUAGACAACGGCGUAAAGAGUGGUUAAGGAGAACUUUCAAACUAAAGCCGAACGUCCUCAAAGCUGUUUAACGCUUCCGAGUUAAGAAGCCCCACUACGAAAGUAGCUUUACCUCACCUGACCCCACGAAAGCUGUGAAA
rnacentral:rRNA from 2 species